CAGUUCCUGUAUGAUCACUGAAGUUAAGCAAUAUCAUGCCUGUUCAGUACCUAGAUGGGUGACUGCUUGGGAAUACCAGGUGCC